GCAGGUCCUCUGUAGGUUUGCAUGCAAAGAAAAAAUGUUCAUAGAGUAAUAACUGCACAUCUAUACUUUGAACUAUAAAAAUGAUACAAGACCUCAAAAUUUGUUUCAAACAACGCAAUUUAAUAUUGGCCCAAUUGUCAUGAUGAAGAAUAAUGAUAAGCUGCAAGAUUAUUUGACACUGUAUCACUCUAUAAGGGACCCUAACGUUUCUAAACGUCAAGCAAUCGUGGAUAAGGUGAUAUAAGACUAAUUGCGGUACUCUGCACUUACGCCUACAUUGUUCCUUUCUAAACUCAAACUGAAGGUUGUCAAUCAGCUCAGGAUCCGUCAGUGUGGUGUAACAAAGUAAAUAAAAUGAACCUGACGCUUCAUGUCACUGCAAAUUCGCCUGACUGUGCCAUUCACUACAAGAAAUUAAAUCAAACAAAAUUUAUUUUGUGCCAUCAAACCGGGCAAGCUUAGCUCGUUCUAAUAAAACCCCCUUUGACGUGUCCUUGGUCAUAUGGUGAUCCUGCAUAAAGUACGGAAAGGAUGCUACGUUUAUGAGGCAUGGAGAAGCACCGCACAAACCACCAAAGUUUGUCGCCUUGCUCGCAAGGUUUCAUUUGCACAGUUUCCUCGUUUCUCGUUUAAUUUGACGACCCAGACCGUAUGUUGUUAUUUUACUUUUGCUUCCCCGUCUU